rnacentral:rRNA from 1 species
GACGAACGCUGGCGGCGUGCCUAAUACAUGCAAGUCGAGCGGACUUGAUGAGAUGCUUGCAUCUCUGACGGUUAGCGGCGGACGGGUGAGUAACACGUAGGUAACCUGCCCGACAGACCGGGAUAACAUUCGGAAACGAAUGCUAAUACCGGAUACGCGAUUUCCUCGCAUGGGGAAAUCGGGAAAGACGGAGCAAUCUGUCACUGUUGGAUGGACCUGCGGCGCAUUAGCUAGUUGGUGAGGUAACGGCUCACCAAGGCGACGAUGCGUAGCCGACCUGAGAGGGUGAUCGGCCACACUGGGACUGAGACACGGCCCAGACUCCUACGGGAGGCAGCAGUAGGGAAUCUUCCGCAAUGGACGAAAGUCUGACGGAGCAACGCCGCGUGAGUGAUGAAGGUUUUCGGAUCGUAAAGCUCUGUUGCCAGGGAAGAACGCUUAGGAGAGUAACUGCUCCUGAGGUGACGGUACCUGAGAAGAAAGCCCCGGCUAACUACGUGCCAGCCGCCGCGGUAAAAC